GUUGUAUGGUUAAGUGACGAAGCGUAUACGGUGGAUGCCUUGGCAGUUAGAGGCGAUGAAGGACGUGUAAGUCUGCGAAAAGCUGUGGUGAGCCGACAAAAUGCAUUUGAGCCACAGAUGUCCGAAUGGGGAAACCCACCUGUUUACAGGUAUCGUUACAUGAAUACAUAGUGUAACGAGGCGAACGAGGGGAACUGAAACAUCUAAGUACCCUUAGGAAAAGAAAUCAAUUGAGAUUCCCCUAGUAGCGGCGAGCGAACGGGGAGCAGCCCUUAAGCUGUUUAGUGUGUAGUGGAAUCCUUUGGGAAGAGGAGCGAUACAGGGUGAUAGCCCCGUACACGUAGCGUGCUUUACAGUGAAAUCGAGUAGGUCGGGACACGUGUUAUCUUGACUGAAUAUGGGGGGACCAUCCUCCAAGGCUAAAUACUCCUAACUGACCGAUAGUGAACCAGUACCGUGAGGGAAAGGCGAAAAGAACCCCUGUGAGGGGAGUGAAAUAGAACCUGAAACCGUAUACGUACAAGCAGUGGGAGCCCUUCGGGGUGACUGCGUACCUUUUGUAUAAUGGGUCAGCGACUUAUAUUUAGUAGCAAGGUUAAGCGAAUAGCGGAGCCGUAGCGAAAGCGAGUGUUAACUGCGCGUUGAGUUGCUAGGUAUAGACCCGAAACCCGGUGAUCUAGCCAUGGGCAGGUUGAAGGUUGAGUAACAUCAACUGGAGGACCGAACCGACUGACGUUGAAAAGUCAGCGGAUGACUUGUGGCUGGGGGUGAAAGGCCAAUCAAACCGGGAGAUAGCUGGUUCUCCCCGAAAUCUAUUUAGGUAGAGCCUCGGACGAAUUCCAUUGGGGGUAGAGCACUGUUAAGGCUAGGGGGUCAUCCCGACUUACCAACCCUUUGCAAACUCCGAAUACCAAUGAGAACUAUCCGGGAGACACACGGCGGGUGCUAACGUCCGUCGUGGAGAGGGAAACAACCCAGACCGCCAGCUAAGGUCCCAAAAUAUUGCUAAGUGGGAAACGAUGUGGGAAGGCAUAGACAGCUAGGAGGUUGGCUUAGAAGCAGCCACCCUUUAAAGAAAGCGUAAUAGCUCACUAGUCGAGUCGGCCUGCGCGGAAGAUGUAACGGGGCUAAGCAAUAUACCGAAGCUGCGGCAGCACAGUUUACUGUGCUGGGUAGGGGAGCGUUGUGUAAGUGGAUGAAGGUGAGUUGUAAAGCUUGCUGGACAUAUCACAAGUGCGAAUGCUGACAUGAGUAACGAUAAUGGGAGUGAAAAACUCCCACGCCGGAAGACCAAGGUUUCCUGUCCCAUGCUAAUCAGGGCAGGGUAAGUCGGCCCCUAAGGCGAGGCAGAAAUGCGUAGUCGAUGGGAAACGGAUUAAUAUUUCCGUACUUGUAUAAUCAGUGAUGGAGGGACGGAGAAGGCUAGGCAAGCUUGGCGUUGGUUGUCCAAGUGAAAGUGAGUAGGCUGCGUAUUUAGGUAAAUCCGGAUACGCUCUUUAAAAGAGAAAGGCCGAGACACGAGACGAGCUCCCAAGGGAGUGAAGUUGUUGAUGCCCUGCUUCCAGGAAAAGCUUCUAAACUUAUGAUUAUAUGAACCGUACCCCAAACCGACACAGGUGGUCAGGUAGAGAAUACUAAGGCGCUUGAGAGAACUCGGGUGAAGGAACUCGGCAAAAUUGUACCGUAACUUCGGGAGAAGGUACGCCUCUGUUUGUGAACACUUCGCGUGGUAAGCAAAUGGAGGCCGCAGUGACCAGGUGGCUGGGACUGUUUAUUAAAAACACAGCACUCUGCAAACUCGUAAGAGGACGUAUAGGGUGUGACACCUGCCCGGUGCCGGAAGGUUAAUUGAUGGGGUUAGCGUAAGCGAAGCUCUUGAUCGAAGCCCCGGUAAACGGCGGCCGUAACUAUAACGGUCCUAAGGUAGCGAAAUUCCUUGUCGGGUAAGUUCCGACCUGCACGAAUGGUGUAACCAUGGCCACGCUGUCUCCACCCGAGACUCAGUGAAAUUGAAAUCGCAGUGAAGAUGCUGUGUACCCGCACCUAGACGGAAAGACCCCGUGAACCUUUACUACAGCUUGGCACUGAACAUUGAACCUACAUGUGUAGGAUAGGUGGGAGGCUUCGAAGCACAGUCGCUAGAUUGUGUGGAGCCGUCCUUGAAAUACCACCCUUGUAUGUUUGAUGUUCUAACAUUGGUCCCUUAUCGGGAUUGUGGACAGUGUCUGGUGGGUAGUUUGACUGGGGCGGUCUCCUCCCAAAUAGUAACGGAGGAGCACGAAGGUUAGCUAAUCACGGUCGGACAUCGUGAGGUUAGUGCAAUGGCAUAAGCUAGCUUAACUGCGAGACAGACACGUCGAGCAGGUACGAAAGUAGGUCAUAGUGAUCCGGUGGUUCUGUAUGGAAGGGCCAUCGCUCAACGGAUAAAAGGUACUCCGGGGAUAACAGGCUGAUACCGCCCAAGAGUUCAUAUCGACGGCGGUGUUUGGCACCUCGAUGUCGGCUCAUCACAUCCUGGGGCUGAAGUCGGUCCCAAGGGUAUGGCUGUUCGCCAUUUAAAGUGGUACGCGAGCUGGGUUUAGAACGUCGUGAGACAGUUCGGUCCCUAUCUGGUGUGGGCGUUGGAUGAUUGAUGGGAGCUGCUCCUAGUACGAGAGGACCGGAGUGGACGAACCGCUGGUGUUCGGGUUGUCAUGCCAAUGGCAUUGCCCGGUAGCUACGUUCGGAACGGAUAACCGCUGAAAGCAUCUAAGCGGGAAGCCGGCCCAAAGAUGAGUCAUCCCUGACCUUUAAGGUCUGGAAGGGUUGUUAUAGACGAUGACGUUGAUAGGCAGGGUGUGGAAGCGUUGUAAGGCGUUAAGCUAACCUGUACUAAUUGCCCGAGAGGCUUAACCAUACAACGCCUAA
rnacentral:rRNA from 1 species